rnacentral:rRNA from 1 species
GAAACCCAGUGUGAUUCGUCACACUAUCAUUAACUGAAUCCAUAGGUUAAUGAGGCGAACCGGGGGAACUGAAACAUCUAAGUACCCCGAGGAAAAGAAAUCAACCGAGAUUCCCCCAGUAGCGGCGAGCGAACGGGGAGGAGCCCAGAGCCUGAAUCAGCAUGUGUGUUAGUGGAAGCGUCUGGAAAGGCGCGCGAUACAGGGUGACAGCCCCGUACACAAAAGCGCAUGUGCUGUGAGCUCGAUGAGUAGGGCGGGACACGUGGUAUCCUGUCUGAAUAUGGGGGGACCAUCCUCCAAGGCUAAAUACUCCUGACUGACCGAUAGUGAACCAGUACCGUGAGGGAAAGGCGAAAAGAACCCCGGCGAGGGGAGUGAAAAAGAACCUGAAACCGUGUACGUACAAGCAGUGGGAGCACAGGUUUACCUGUGUGACUGCGUACCUUUUGUAUAAUGGGUCAGCGACUUAUAUUCUGUAGCAAGGUUAACCGAAUAGGGGAGCCGGAGGGAAACCGAGUCUUAAUUGGGCGUUAAGUUGCAGGGUAUAGACCCGAAACCCGGUGAUCUAGCCAUGGGCAGGUUGAAGGUUGGGUAACACUAACUGGAGGACCGAACCGACUAAUGUUGAAAAAUUAGCGGAUGACCUGUGGCUGGGGGUGAAAGGCCAAUCAAACCGGGAGAUAGCUGGUUCUCCCCGAAAGCUAUUUAGGUAGCGCCUCGUGAAUUCAUCUCCGGGGGUAGAGCACUGUUUCGGCUAGGGGGCCAUCCCGGCUUACCAACCCGAUGCAAACUGCGAAUACCGGAGAAUGUUAUCACGGGAGACACACGGCGGGUGCUAACGUCCGUCGUGAAGAGGGAAACAACCCAGACCGCCAGCUAAGGUCCCAAAGUCAUGGUUAAGUGGGAAACGAUGUGGGAAGGCCCAGACAGCCAGGAUGUUGGCUUAGAAGCAGCCAUCAUUUAAAGAAAGCGUAAUAGCUCACUGGUCGAGUCGGCCUGCGCGGAAGAUGUAACGGGGCUAAACCAUGCACCGAAGCUGCGGCAGCGACACUCAGGUGUUGUUGGGUAGGGGAGCGUUCUGUAAGCCUGUGAAGGUGGCCUGUGAGGGUUGCUGGAGGUAUCAGAAGUGCGAAU